rnacentral:rRNA from 1 species
GAGCAGAGGGUGCAAACGUUGUUCGGAAUUACUGGGCGUAAAGCGCAUGUAGGCGGUUCGUAAAGUCAGAUGUGAAAGCCCUGGGCUUAACCCAGGAAGUGCAUUUGAAACUCACGAACUUGAGUCCGGAGAGGAAGGCGGAAUUCUCGGUGUAGAGGUGAAAUUCGUAGAUAAUUCGGAAGAACACCAGGUGGGCGAAGGCGACUUACUGGACACAUAUUCGACGCUGAGGUGCGAAAGCGUGGGGAGCAAACAGG